rnacentral:rRNA from 1 species
UACGGAGGGUGCAAGCGUUAUCCGGAUUCACUGGGUUUAAAGGGUGCGUAGGCGGACAGGUAAGUCAGUGGUGAAAUCUCUGGGCUUAACUCAGAAACUGCCGUUAUACUAUUUGUCUUGAAUGUCAUGGAGGUAAGCGGAAUAUGUCAUGUAGCGGUGAAAUGCUUAGAUAUGACAUAGAACACCAUAGCGAAGGCACU